AGGAUGAACGCUGGCGGCGUGCUUAACACAUGCAAGUCGAACGAUGAAGGCUGGAGCUUGCUCUGGCUGGAUUAGUGGCGAACGGGUGAGUAACACGUGAGUAACCUGCCCCAGACUCUGGGAUAAGCGCUGGAAACGGCGUCUAAUACCGGAUACGAGCUUCCACCGCAUGGUGAGGAGCUAGGAAAGUAAUUUC
rnacentral:rRNA from 1 species